ensembl:lncRNA
CCUUCCUUCUCCCACCCUCCCCGGAGCGGGGACUGUCGCAGCUCACCGCACUGCCGUCCCUCCUGCAGCUCCUCCUCUCGUGGCAGCGCUGAGGUUUGCUGUGGAUGAGACCUGCCACCCUCUAAUCCUGGGAGCAGAAGCGUGCUCGUCCCUUCACUGUCCUGCCAGCUUCUUUCAUGGAGAAGCUUACGGGUUUGCUGCACUGCGAGAGAGAUUUCCUGCAGCCUAAUAGGAACGCACUCAGUUUAGAAAUGUUUUUGUCUUCUAAAAUUACUCAAGUUCUGCAAAAUUGUUGAAGUAUAGACCUUAUUUUAGGAGAAACUGAAAUGGGCUGUAAGGAUAGACCCGGCCUGGUUAGCGACUGCAGCCCCAGUGAGAGGUCCUGGCUGUAGGAAGGAAAUCCGCCUUACAUGAAAGCUGGGCAGGGCACAGAGCCCCGAGGCUGCCUGCAGAGCUGCAGUCAGUAGGCCUCCAGUGUUUUCCCUGCACACAUCUGUACUGCUUGCCACAUUGAGAGCUGCCAAAAAGCUAACACAAGUGACAGGAGAUCCAAUGGAUGUACUGCAGGGCCACGAGUUGUGCUCCCACCGUGGCUCAGCAGCCGUGGGUCUAAACCUAUUUCUGCUCUGUAUGGGAACUGCUGAAUCAUGGCCUGAACCUCUGAUUGAUCACCUGAGGCGAGCACUGAGUCAGCCGGGGGAGCACAGCUGAAGGCAAUUCCCCUGUGUGACCAGAAGGGGUGGAGCCAGGCUGCACCUCUCCUAGACCCCAUUUAAGGGCUGACUGCCCCUGGGGAAGGGUCUCUCUCUGGAGAUCGCUCCCUUGUGGAGCUUUUCAUGGUGAGCCUAAAUCUUCAGAUACAGGUGAGCAUUCCUUCUCCAUUAGUUCCUUUGCUGUCUCACUACAACACACUUUCCAACUGUGCUUUGUUGACUGUACACUGCUCCCCACAAAAAGCGCUUGCAUUCAAAACAGGACUAUUUUCCAGGAGGCUCUGCUUCAAAACCACUGUUGUUGCCUUUAUUGAAAGGUACAUAGAAUACAGAUCCAUAUAUUUCUCUUUCACAAAGAUCGGGAAUGAUGAAGAUGUCAUAAUACAGCAUCUUAAGAUGUGUCCCUGCUGUUUCCUCUUGCGCUCACAUACGCUAUAUUUCAUCUGAUAUCUUGAAUGCUUCAGCUAAAGGCAGAAAUUAGGUAUUUUUCUACUUCUGAUAAGAAAUAGCUGCUCGUAAUACAUAAAGAUGCGGGUAAAACAAAGGCAGAAACCUUACAACACCAGGCUUCCCUGUUAGGGGCCCAGAAAAUGUGAUUUUCUCCAGAGAUCCAGCCCUUCUGUUUUACUUUGGACCACCUAGGGAUACAACGCAGUGUUUUUUCUGUCAGGGAGCAGAAAUGCUUCGGAGCCUCCUGCAGUUCACAGCACGCUCCCAAAGUCAGAUCUAAAUGGAAUGAUUUUGCUGCAUUUCAUUCCUGCCAGGACAAAGCAAAGGUGGUCUUCCCUCAAAGCACCACAUCUCAACAAAGCUGUAGUAAAUCUAGUAAAAACACCAUUUCAAAAGGAGCUUUCAGAUACUGAUUCACCAGGCGUGAUUUUUCUGGUCUUGCUCCUUGCACACCUCCUCACCAUCCCAGGCACUGCGUUAUCCUGCUGGCAGUUCUGCUGUUCCAGCCAUGCCCCGCGUGGAGCUCAGCAGCCGUACUCCCGCUCGAUGCUGGCCAUCAGCUCCUCCUCUGAGCCGUGGUACAAGAUGGCUGGGCACCCCACCGGCUGCUUACUGCCCUGUGAUAGGCACCUGCAGGUGGAGGGAGCAGGUUAUUGAAUCAUGGAAUGGCCUGAGUUGAAAAGGACCACAAUGAUAAUUGAGUUUCAACCCCCCUGCUGUGUGCAGGGUCGCCAACCACCAGACCGGGCUGCCCAGAGCCACAUCUAGCCUGGCCUUGAAUGCCUCCAGGGAUGGGGCAUCCACAACCUCCUUGGGCAACCUGUUCCAGUGCGUCACCACCCUCUGUGUGAAAACCUUCCUCCUAAUAUCUAACCUAAACCUCCCCUGUCUCAGUUUAAAACCAUUCCUCCCUAUUGCUGCUGGGAAAAGAGCCACGCUCCCUCGCUGCUAACUUCAUCAUCGGGUGAAUGGGAAAAUGGCAGUGCUCGUGGCUUGCUGAGAUGCUGCUAUUCUAACACAUCAGAUUUCCACACCCCAUGGGCACAGCGCUGGCUGACAUUUGCUAGCACUUGGCACCUAUUCUAGUCGGUGAGAUUGUCACAGUGAAAUCUAUACAGUACUCAAGCUCCUGUGCUCCGUAAUCCUCAGUAAGCUACAGCCACGGCCCAGCCAACACACUGCAUACCCUGUAACACCAGCUGCUAGUUCCAAGGUUUCGUCCAGAAAGGUGUUUUUGUUAUUAUCUGACCACCAUGUGCAUGCCCUGUGGCCUUUGCCCUUUUCAAGAGAGCUGGGCGUUGCCAUUAAGAAUGACCAUUUUGGUUAUUUUUGUGCUUCUGCUUUUGAGAGACGUAAGAUAAAAAAAGUAAUCCGAUAGUGUGGGACAAAGUCAUUACCUUGCAAAUAAGUAAACAAGCUUGGUAGCUGCUUGUGCCAGGUGUAAACAGCCACGAGGCGCCUGGUUGGUACGUGUGACCAAGGGGUUGUCGAGCGGUAUAAAAGGUUGUAAGCACAUACAAUAAAGGUCUUCGUUUUGCACCAGCAAUGGAGUCCGUGACUCGCCUGCCACACUAUAGAACACCAGGCCCCAAAAAGCGAGGUACUGAUGGAGAAUGUGUGCAAGUUCUUCCAUGGGAACCUCUGCAGCACUACAGGGCUUGGCUGGGUUUCCUUUGGGUUCAAACCAAAGCGUGAGCUCAACUCCCUCCAACUGCUCCUAUGGUUUAGUUAUUUUUUUGUCUCACACAAGUGAUGUCUGAUGUACCGUCAGUAGGGGACCGGCCCAGGUUUUAUUGGCACUGUGGAUAUCACAUCCAACAGCACAUCUCUGGCUCUGCCAUUAUUUAGCAACCACUGACUCGCCGCUUCUCUAAGGAUGAGACCCAGCACAGCUGGAACGAACUUGGUCAGUAGCAUCCCCACAUCUUGCCUGUGUGCUGACCUCCAGGCAGGAGAGAAAGUCUCCAGGUAAAAUGCAGGCUCAUUGACACACUGAGGGGCUUUCAAAGAGACAGAAGCAACCCACUACCAUGCAAAAGGAAAGCAAGCUGCUGCUUGGGUCCUUUCUGUUGUUGUGUCAGUUAUGCAUCACUUCAUGUGGAAAAAAUGAAAUAAACCCAAAUCAGAGAGGUCCCACCUGCACAAAAGGAGAAACCCCUCCAGCCUGAGGCCUGCAGCUGUGCAUGCUGCGUCACUGGGGCUUUUUGGGGCCAGGCUGGAUAGGGCCCUGCACUGAGGUGGCUUUGAGCAGGAGGUCGAUCCGAGGCCUCCAAGGCCUCCAGCCUGAGCCUUCAUCUCAAGGGCAGGGAAUUAAGCCGGGGCUGAGAAAUGUGAGCAAUGGGGGGACAGGGCCUCCCUGGUGCCGCGUGGCUGCCGGGCCUUGGGCCUGCAGCAUCAUGGUGCUGCCCACUGAGUCCUGCUGAGAGCUGCUGGACUUGGUGACUUGAAAACUGGAGGUUGGGAUGUUGGGGGAGAAUUGUUCAAACCCAGCAGAUCUCUGGGAGCUAGAGGCCUGAGGAGCAAUGCUGGGAGGACAGCACGAGAAACACAAGCCACCGAGAUCACUGCAGAGACUUCUGAGUAAAAUCCUGAAGAGUUACUAACAGCUUGGAGGGAGUUUAGAAAGCAGCAAUAAGAGUGACCGGAGAGGCUGAAGCAAUUUAGGAAAGGAGAAAGCAAGGAAUGUGCUCCAUUUCAGCCACCAGCCUCUCUGUGUUUAAAGAUGGUUAUGGGAAGAGGGCAUAUUUUUCAUGGGAAGACAGUGAGUUUUGCAAUGAGGAGAAGGAAACACAAAGGGCAAGAUUAGCCCAGAAGUGAGCUGUGGGGCCUGCUGACAGUGUCCCUCACGGGUGGUGACCUCCUAGGUAGGAACCCCGGCUCACAGAACGGUGAUGGGAGGGACCUCUGGCGGUCAUCUGGCCAAGUUAAGCAAGAGUCAGCCCCAGUUAAGAGCCUGAAAAUCACAGGAUAUCUCCAGUGAGAAGGGAUCCACAAGGAUCCCCAAGUCCAACCCCUGCCUUCACACAGGAGCACCCAAAAUCCAAACCCUGUGUCUGAGAGCGGUGCCCAAACAUUCCUUGGUCGCCGGCACUCGGGGCCGUGCCCACUGCCCUGGGCAGCCUAGCCUGUCCCUAACCCCACCUCAAUGAGUCCAAUCAGAGUGAGGUGGGAUGAAUCUAGGCCGCUGUUUUUUAUCUUUCUGCUGAGGAUGGGAAAGUACAGGAUUAAUCAUUAAAGUGCCUUCUGCAAGACCUAGCAGCCGAAAAAUGGGUCAAAGCCACGCUUGGAUAACACUGCGCAUGACACGGGGCUUGAGAGCAAUUAUAAGAUUGUUGUGACAUCCCUGAGCCACGUCAUUCAGUUGGUGGACUGCUGUGAGAUAGAGGCUGGGGGAAAUGGUUUUCCAUGCUGUGGUUCUGUGAAGUCUCCUUACUUCUUUCUUUUCGUCCCUGCUUUUUUUCUCCCCAAUUUUCAGAUUAACACACCGAGGGGCUGCGUGACAGCCCAGCAUUGAAAGGAGUGCCUCCUUAGUGCAAGGAAAUGGUUUUCCAAGCCUUUUAGUUUCAUCUUGGUUUCUCUAUCACGUGCAUGAAGCUGUUCCCAGUGCUGCUGGCAGACCUGGGGACGCAGUCAGCAUCGCUGUUGGUGGAAGUAAGGUUUUGUUUGUUGCAUGCCCAGAGCAGCAGGUUCCCACCUCUCUCCCCCACUACCUGAGGAUCUGUGUCUCUAACUGCUGCAGCAUGGGAGCCCCUCAUGGGUUCUUAGGGUUCCCAGGGAGGAACGAUGUGUGAUCUGUUCUACCCAUGCUGCACAGCCCAUGGAAGGCCCAGGUGGCCACGACAGCAACAAAAAACACAGCAGGGGAAAGGGAGGCAGGGGCUACUCACUCAUUGCUGAUGUUGUUGUUCUCUGGGUCUGAGGGGCGUCGUGGAGACGAGGCCUUGAAAAGAAUAAAUGUCACAUGUUUCAGUUACGACAAUACAGAGCUGUCUUUGUGUCUCAUCGGCCACGCCUGCACCCCAAACCACCUCUGGGGAGGUGGUACGUGGGCCAGAGCACCUCCUAGUAAUGAAAAUACCUGCUAAUGAAAAUACCUGCUAAUGAAGGAAGUGACAAAGAGAACCCCCUGCAGGCAGGCUGGGUGCUGCAGGAAGAACCGAACUUCCACCUUCCUCCUCUUUAUUGUGCUGCCCCAUAGAAAGGGGAGAGGGAGAAUGGCUGUGGCUUGGGACAGACUCACACUCGGUCGGCCUGGUGACUGCUUUCCCUAAGCUGAAGCUGGUGAUUCACACGAGCUAUCCUGCAGCUCCCAACAGCAACAACAGAGGUUAAACAGGCAUGGUGCAGAGCCAGUGUAAGGGCCCAGCCCCCAGAAAGCAGGAACAAAGCAGCUCCUUUCCGUGCCCAGAAGGAUGCUCGGCCCCGCAGCUCUGUCUCGGCAGUCCCCACCCUGAGAACCCAUUCUCAGCCCUUCUGGGCAAAGGAUGGGCUUGGAAGACGGGCGGCUGCCUCUUUUUCCCUUUGUGGCUGACUCCUCUGCGUUACGAGCUGUACGUGGUGUGUGGGCGGAAGACAGAAUCAAUUAGUCAUCAGGACGGAGCGGCUCUGGUUAGCAAAAUUUGCUUCCCUCUGCAAAACCAGCUCCCACCUUCUCGGAGGGAUCUGUCAGCAGCAGCACCUAUCUCCCAAAGGAGCACUGCCGACACUUCACUCAGAGCUCUGAGAUCUGUGGGGAUGUGAGAAAAUGGCCCCCCAGCCCCUCCUCAGCCCUCAGAGCUGCGCUGGGCCGGGCACAGUGGGGUUGGUGGUGACACUGUGACUCCAGGCACACCCCAAAGCCAAGAGUUAUUCGGGGACCACAGGCUGGGCCGAGCCAACACUGUGGCAGGGGCCCUUCCAGCUGUGCCGGUGCAGUGGGCAGCAGCACCCUCCAGCGACACAAGAAAUGCCAUGGGUGGGUGGGCCAUUGAGCGCUGCCAAAACCAACACCUGGCGAACACAGGGCUGGAGCUGCCACGGGCAGGGAUCCUAUCCUGCUGACGGGGCGGGAGGCAGAACCCCGCAGGGAAAACAGAGGGAAGGCGGGCAGUGCCACGCUCCUCCCAGCUGUGCUGUGCAUGCCUGGUGCUUGUUCUGAGGCAGGGAUAUGCCAGGGAUGGGCAGGAAGCAGUGCCAGGGAUCUGCUAGGGAUGUGCCGGGGACGGUGUCAAGGAUGCGCCAGGGUUGUGUCGAGGACGUGGCAGGGAUGUGCCAGCAAGUGUGUGGCAGUGGUGUGCCGGGGAUGUGCCAGGUCACAGAGGAGCUGUGCUCUGCUGAGAAAACAGCAAAGGAGGGGUGGCUUCGGGAGCACAGCUGCAGCACAGCUGCGUGGGUGUGACCGAAGGGACUGACACUGGCCAAGGGGAUGGCGCAGCUCACUGCUGCAUUUUGGCUGUCUGUAAGGAUGAGGAGCACUGAACAGAGCAGACGGCGCUGGUCCUGCAAGCAGUGAGAGCACCUCUGCCUGCAUGAGCCACUGCGCCCUGUGCUGCACGGCCCGGGCACAACCACGGGUGGGAUUUUCCUGCGCUGAACAAUAUUUAACUCUGUUGGCAAUAUCAGCAUCACGGAAUCUUUUAGGACGAAAAAGAUUCACAAGAUGAGGUCCGAGCACCGCCCAAGCGCCGCCGGGUCCAUCGCUGCACCACGUCCACACGCCUCUGCAAAUACCUGCAGGGACGCAUUACUGCAGCGCAUUACACCACGCUCCUCACUUCCGUGCAUCUGCUGGGAGCAGCGUUUGUCCAACCAACAGCGGGCGGCCCCACGGCUGUGCUCGGACCGGCGGCGCUGCCCGGCUCACAGCCCGGGGCUGCCCGUUCC